UAUAGUGUGAUAAGGGUGCAUCAUUUAUGAUGAUUUUUGUUAAAAUUAAAAAAAAGACACCCUCAGUCAAUGAACUGGUGCCUAUAUCUGUCUCUCACCACCUCCAGAUCUUUAACUUGGAUGAUAUAAGUGACCUCCAGGAAAAGUUAGUGCCCUUCACCCUACUUCCCUGUGGCCCCCACAGCCUAGAGCCCAGGGCUCAGUAUUCAGAGAGGCUUAGGGGAGGUUCUGGCAAAAGCUGAAGGAGCUGCAAGCUAUUCAACACCACCAAGUUGAGACAGUGGAGGAACAACAAGUAUGUAAGAAAUGCAACAGUGCCUGAUCAUACAGCAGUCUUCUGGAUAUAAACAUGGCUACUGCUUUAUUUCUGCUUUUUAAAUCUCACAGAAAUGUUGCAUGUGGCCAGCCCUAAUCUGAAACCAUACAAGGAAGGGAAUUUUGGGAAAUGUAGCUCCAGCUUAGCUAAAUUGAUGUAAUACUAGGUUACCACACUGCCCCAUCUCUCUGACAUUGCCCACCACUCCAAUCACACCAACAUGUUUCUGUUCUUGGAAUUUCCACCUCAGAGCCUUUGUACUUGGUACUUCUUCUUCUGCAAGUGUUAUUUCCCUAGAUAUCUCAUUACAUAGCUUUUUCUUAUCAUUCACUUUUCCACCUUCAUAUCACCUCUUUCCCCUAUAUAAAGUAUUUCUUGCUCCUCAUUGCUCUCCGAAGUGAACACUUUUAGUGGCUUGGCCAGCAUCAAUUCCUUCCCUCUCUUCUUACUAAUAGUAGGCAGAUCUUUUUUUCAGGAACCCUUUCCCAUGCAGCCCCUCUCUCCCUGCUCUGGUGCCUGAGUCGGUCUCUCACCACAUCCAGGUCCCCAGCUGGCUAAAUGAAUCAGAAGAUUUUAUUCCUGGCCUCAGUCAUUGAUACAGGCAUGAACACAAGACAUAAGCUAAUGAAUCCAGUCCCUUUUACUAGAAUGCUCUGAUGGAAGCCUUGCUGAACAUGAACUAAGAUGCAUUGGACCCUGACUGCUGACAAACAUCUUCCAACCCUGAGAACAUCAGCUCUAAGAUGAAGUCACCAUUUAUGGACUGAAGGAUAGAAAAGAGACACAUUAGGUUAGCUGCUCUGCUGGCUCAACUUGGUGGUGUGGGACAGCUUGCAGCUCCUUUAGCUCCUGCCAGAAUCUUUCCUAAGCCUCUCUGAAUACUGUGCUGUGUGUGUGUUUGUGUACAUGUUCAUGUGUAUGUGUAUGUGGUGAAAGGCACUAGAUUUUCCUGCAGGUCACAAAUAUAAUCCAAGCUGAAAGCUUAGAGGUGGUGAGAGAGAGAUGCAUGUACCAGUUAAUCUGUUGGCAUUCAGCUUGUUCUUUGGGUUCCAGCUUGUUCUUUGGGGUUCCUGUUAGUUCCUGCUCUCCUCCAGUUGUCUUUUCUUCCAGAUUACCUGUUUUGCUAACUCCGGCUGGGCACCAAAUGUACAGGAAACAACCUUAUAUAGACUGUUUACCUUCUAUAAUUGCCUAAGGUCAAACUCCUAUAAUAAAUCUUGAUCAAACAUAAACUAACACAGAAUUUAGUACAGGAAGUAGUUCUAGAGGAAUGGAAGCUUAAGGAAGAGUUCUUUGAGUGAGUUCUAAGUUCUCUGAGUUGGUUCUGGAUUCUCUGAAAUCAGUUCUCUCUUCAGAUUAGAUUUACAGGCAUGAUAAUCCUGUUUCCAGUGGUAAAGGACACACUGUUAGUUCAUAACAUGCAGAGGUAAAACACUUAACUUACAUCACCAUCUGUAGACACCUGUAAUUUAAUGCCUAUAGAAGACAAGUCCUUAGGUGACUCACCAUUCCCUGCCAUAGAACAUUUAAAUGAAAACAAGGAGUGUAAUGGGAUUGGGUAGUUGAUUCUACAAGUAGAAAGAAAAUGAUGAGCUCAGGGCUUCAAGUUCCUAGAAACUUCUAUAACUGUUCUAAAAACACACUUAUCUCCUAUAGCUGCAGGACUGAUUUCUGAAAAGAAAACCUAAAGUCUGAGCUCAGGAGGGGCUGAUUGACAGGAUAAUUUGGGUUUCUAAUUUCUCUAUGUCUUUUGUAUUAAUUUUAGGACAUUGAUUGGAAAGGAGUGGUACCCUGAAAAUUAGGAUAAGGAAAUAUGAGUUCGUUUUGAUGAAACUGAAGAUCUCCAACUUCUAAAUUAUGCUGCAUUUUUCUUGCCAGUAGGAGCAACCCUUCUUCUCCUACCUGAGAAUAUUAGAUUCUCUCCUGCCUCUACUGAUGUAUUUGCAAGGGACUGAUUAUCCUCAUCAGGAGCUUCUCCCAAAUACCUGCCAUCGCUUCUAGACCUAUUACUAAACUGAAGUUGCAAGCUCCAGGGAGCAAGCUCACUAUCUUCUUGAUCAGAAAUUUGGAAAUUUGGGUGAUAUAACUGUUUCCUGUGGCAUUAAUGGAGGUCUCUUGGUGGUAUUCAGCUGGCAGAUGGACUGAUCUGCAGACCCCAAGAUGGCUUUACUUAGAUGUCUGCCACUUUGAUGGACAUGGCUAGAAGACUGACCUUAGCAACUCAAGGGAAAUGGGUAGUCUUUCCUUUGGAGAAGAACAAAAAGCUGGACAAACAGACAAAAAAACAACAAAAAUACUGGACAACUAAAGAUUUCUCAAAUCUUGCUCCACAGGAUACUGAUGUUCCUCUAAAUGUUAGUAGUCUACAGGAUAUCAGAAUUCUUAGAAAAACUUGGAAAUCAUGUCCAGGACUAUACAGGACUUUACAAGCUUUAUCUUCCCAAACUGAAAACCAAGUCUAGCUGCUCUCCUCCAGGUGCUGCAUAAAUGCAUUUUUUUGGGCUAUGUUUCUAGUUCUCCAGGACCCAGUCUUUGGCUACCUUACUUCAGAUCACUUGGUUGAAACAGUUCCCUCAGUCAACUUGUCCACUGGACUUAAGCUGUGGGACACAGAAAUUUUCCCUGGAAGAACAGAACAAUGAAGAUGAAUAGUUGAAAAAUGAGAGUGAUCCUGGCUGUUGGUAGGAGUAUGAGACACCCCUCCACAUUAGCAAACCCUAGAUUCUAAAUCCAUCAGCCUAAGUUGUUGGCUAUACAAGCAUGAUGACAGUACCUGCUUGGCUUCUGGUGAGCUUUUACUCAUGGCAGAGAGCAAAGUGGAAACAGGCACUUCUGCAAGUCUCAGAGUCUAAAGGCUGAAAAACCUGGAGUCUGAUGUCCAAGGGCAGGAGGAGACGAAGCAAGCAACUGACAUGGAAAGAAAGAGGGAGCCAGAAGACUCAGCAAGCAAGCCUACCCCCAUGCCUUCUUCCACCUGGGUCUUCCUCUUCCAGUCCACUGACCCAAAUGUGAAUUUCCUUUGGCAACAUCCUAACAGACACACCCCGAAACAAUACUUUACCAGCCAUCUAGGAAUCCUUUAAUCCAGUCAAGAUGACAACUAAUGUUAACCAUCACAGCAUUUUCUAAAGAGAAUCCUGCAUUCUAAAGGAUCUAGUCUGGAUGCCAGAAGCUGUGUAUAGGAUGAGAGCCUGGUGGACCUGAUUCACCUCCUGUUGUUCAGUUCAGUUCAGAGACUGAAAAUCAGGAUUUGUGCUGGAGAGUCUUUGAACUGUGUGAAAGUAUCUGAAGGUCCAUGACAAUUUGAAAGGUUAACAGUAAUGGACUUUCAUAGAUCUAUAGUAUUUGCUCUUGACCUUGGCUGAAAUUGUAAAACAGGCGGCCACAUCUCCGUUUGAGCACACAAUGAAAUGAGUUGAUAUUGACUGUUGGGAACCAGAGUUCUCAGUGGAUGAAGAGACACAGAAAAGUAAAAUGGAGGAAGGCAAAGAAGAUCUCCGAAGAGACGGAUUGGAAUUGGAAGCAUUAGUAUGAACCAUGAUUCUAAAAUUGUUAUAUAUUAAUGUCUAUGCUUGUAUAUAUCCAGAAGUUUAUGUAUGUAUGUUUAAAUGUGUGUGUAAUAUAUAUGUAUACAUAUAUGUACACAUGUAUAUAUUUCCUAGCUUUGUCUACUGAAAGGGUCCACAAGCAAAGAUCUUGUAGUGGAUCUUGGUCUCUAAGAUUGUUCCCUGUUAAAAAAAAACAAAACAAAACAGGAUCUGUUGGAGAAAUUGCUGAUUCCAGUGCUGUAGCAGAAAAGGUAAUACAUGAUCCUAAAAUCAGUAAUCUCAUUCUGUUAGAUUACUGUGGGGUUCAAUAUGGUAGCCACUAGUCUCUUGUGCUAUUUAUUUAUUUAUUUUUAUUAUUAUACUUUAAGUUCUAGUGUGCAUGUGCACAACGUGCAGGUUUGUUGCAUAUGUAUACAUCUGCCAUGUUGGUGUGCUGCACCCAUUAACUCGCCAUUUACAUUAGGUAUAUCUCCUAAUGCUAUCCCUCCUCCCUCCCCCCACCCCAUGACAGGCACCAGUAUGUGAUGAUCCCCAUCCUGUGUCCAAGUGUUUUCAUUGUUCAAUUCCUACCUGUGAGUGAGAACAUGCAGUGUUUGGUUUUCUGUCCUUGCGAAAGUUUGCUCAGAAUGAUGGUUUCCAGUUUCAUCCAUGUCCCUACAGAGGACAUGAACUCAUCCUUUUUUAUGGCUGCAUAGUAUUCCAUGAUGUAUAUGUGCCACAUUUUCUUAAUCCAGUCUAUCACUGAUGGACAUUCGGGUUGGUUCCAAGUCUUUGCUAUUGUGAAUAGUGCCACAAUAAACAUAUGUGUGCAUGUGUCUUUAUAGCAGCAUGAUUUAUAAUCCUUUGGGUAUAUACCCAGUAAUGGAAUGGCUGGGUCAAAUGGUGUUUCUAGUUCUAGAUGCUUGAGGAAUUGUCACACUGUCUUCCACAAUGGUUGAACUAGUUUACAGUCUCACCAACAGUGAAAAAGUGUUCCUGUUUCUCCACAUCCUCUCCAGCACCUGUUGUUUCCUGACUUUUUAAUGACCGCCAUUCUAACUGAGGUGGUAUCUCAUUGUGGUUUUGAUUUGCAUUUCUCUGAUGGCCAGUGAUAAUGAGCAUUUUUUCAUGUGUAUGUUGGCUGCAUAACUGUCUUCUUUUGAGAAGUGUCUGUUCUUAUCCUUUGCCCACUUUUUGAUGGGGUUGUUUUUUUCUUGUAAAUUUGUUUAAGUUCUUUGUAGAUUCCGGAUAUUAGCCCUUUGUCAGAUGGGUAGAUUGCAAAAAUUUUCUCCCAUUCUGUAGGU